AUGAUACGCUUGUCAUCCUUCGCGCGGACACCGGCGCCGCUGCCCGCCUCCGUCGUAUCCUCGACGACUUUGCGGCGGCGACGGGGCUAUACAUCAACUUCGUCAAAAGUACUCUGGUCCCCAUGCACGUACCCGAGGAGGUGUCUGUGGAGACCGUUGGCGCCCUUGGCUGCGCCGUUCAAGGGUUCCCGCAAGCCUACCUUGGGCUCCCGUUGUCGUGGGAAAAGCUCUGCUUCGCUGACUUCCUACCUAACUGGAUGGAGAGCUCGUCUUCUCUCCCCGGCCGGGCGUUUGGUCCUGAUCAACGCUGUUCUCGACGCCCUCCCCACUUACGCCAUGGCGGCGAUGAUGCUCCCGCCGGCGGUGAUCAAGGAGCUCGACUCGCUCCGUCGGGCCUUCCUCUGGAAUGCGGCCGAACGCGCCUCUGGAGCACAAUGCCUGGUGGCUUGGGAGCGCGUUUGCAGG
rnacentral:rRNA from 1 species